UUGACCUCGGAUCAGGUAGGGAUACCCGCUGACUUAGA
rnacentral:rRNA from 1 species